CAGGUCUUGACAUCCUCUGCCAACCCUAGAGAUAGGGCGUUCCCCUUCGGGGGACAGAGUGACAGGUGGUGCAUGGUUGUCGUCAGCUCGUGUCGUGAGAUGUUGGGUUAAGUCCCGCAACGAGCGCAACCCUUGAUCUUAGUUGCCAGCAUUCAGUUGGGCACUCUAAGGUGACUGCCGGUGACAAACCGGAGGAAGGUGGGGAUGACGUCAAAUCAUCAUGCCCCUUAUGACCUGGGCUACACACGUGCUACAAUGGAUGGUACAAAGAGCUGCGAACCCGCGAGGGUAAGCGAAUCUCAUAAAGCCAUUCUCAGUUCGGAUUGUAGGCUGCAACUCGCCUACAUGAAGCCGGAAUCGCUAGUAAUCGCGGAUCAGCAUGCCGCGGUGAAUACGUUCCC
rnacentral:rRNA from 1 species